GACGAACGCUGGCGGCGUGCCUAAUACAUGCAAGUAGGACACAGUUGCGAACGGGAGAGUAACGCGUAGGUAACUACCUAUUAGAGGGGGAUCACUAUUGGAAACGAUAGCUAAUAACGCAUACUAGUCGGUGGACCUGCGUUGUAUUAGCUAGUAGGUCGGGUAAUGGCCUACCUAGGCAACGAUACAUAGCCGACCUUAGAGGGUGAUUGGCCACACUGGGACUGAGGACCGACCCAGAAUCCCACGGUAGGCAGCAGUAGGGAAUCGUCGGCAAUGGGGGGAACCCUGACCGAGCAAGUCCGCGUGAGUGAAGAAGGGUUUCGGAUCGUAAAGCUCUGUUGUUAAGGAAGCGGUACUUAACCAGAAAGCCACGGCUAACUACGUGCCAGCAGCCGCGGUAAUAC
rnacentral:rRNA from 1 species